AUCGAACGCUGGCGGCGUGCUUAACACAUGCAAGUCGAACGGAAAGGCCCUGCUUGUGCGUGGUUCUCGAGUGGCGAACGGGUGAGUAACAUGUGAGUAACCUUCCCUGUGCUUGGUGAUAACUUCAGGAAACUGGUGCUAAUACCUGCUAGGAGCGCGUGCUACAUGGUGGUGUUUGGAAAGUUUCGGCUGUUGUGGAUGUACUCGCGGCUUAUUAGCUUGUUGGGGGGGUAGUGGCCUACCAAGGCUUUGACGGGUCGUCGGCCUGAGAGGGUGACCGGCCACAUUGGGCCUGAGGUACGGCCCAGACUCCUACGGGAGGCAGCAGUGGGGAAUCUUGCACAAUGGGCGGAAGCCUGAUGAAGAAACGCCGCGAGCGGGAUGAAGGCCAUCGGGUUGUAAACCGCUUUAGCCUGUGACGAAGCGUGAGUGACGGUAAUGGGUAAAGAAGCACCGGCUAACUACGUG
rnacentral:rRNA from 1 species